rnacentral:rRNA from 1 species
GCGCAGCAGGCUAGAAUUUUUCUCAAUGGGGGAAACCCUGAAGGAGCGACGCCGCGUGGAGGAUGAAGGUCUUCGGAUUGUAAACUCCUGUCAUUUGGGAACAAGUUGCAUCGGUUAACUGCCGGUGCAUUGAUAGUACCAGAAGAGGAAGAGACGGCUAACUCUGUGCCAGCAGCCGCGGUAAUACAGAGGUCUCAAGCGUUGUUCGGAUUCAUUGGGCGUAAAGGGUGCGUAGGUGGCGCCGUAAGUCAGGUGUGAAAUCUCGGGGCUCAACCCCGAAACUGCACUUGAUACUGCGGUGCUCGAGUACUGGAGAGGAGAUUGGAAUUUACGGUGUAGCAGUGAAAUGCGUAGAUAUCGUAAGGAAGACCAGUGGCGAAGGCGAAUCUCUGGACAGUUACUGACACUGAGGCACGAAGGCCAGGGGAGCAGACGGGAUUAGAUACCCGGGUAGU